AAAAAUCAAACUUUUUGUGUGUUGUUUUUCUUCGCUGUUAUGCUAUGGUUUUCUCUCUUCAUUCUUCCGAGCUCUAUCGUUUUCUGCUCACUUGCAACGGUUGUUUUUGUUUUUUGUUUAAAAAUAAGGGAAGAGGGAAGACCUGCGGGUUUGUUUGGACACCAGCGAUAAUCAAUACACUAUGACUCGAGAAGAAAAUGAGUUCUCAUUUGUAUUUUGCUAAUUUCGUUGUUGGCCACAUUGUGUACCCACGAAGGGAAAGCAAAGUCAUUCGUGUUACUU
rnacentral:ribozyme from 1 species